rnacentral:rRNA from 1 species
GAUGAACGCUGGCGGCGUGCCUAAUACAUGCAAGUCGAGCGAACGGACGAGAAGCUUGCUUCUCUGAUGUUAGCGGCGGACGGGUGAGUAACACGUGGAUGACCUACCUAUAAGACUGGGAUAACUUCGGGAAGCCGGAGCUAAUACCGGAUAAUAUUUUGAACCGCAUGGUUCAAAAGUGAAAGACGGUCUUGCUGUCACUUAUAGAUGGAUCCGCGCUGCAUUAGCUAGUUGGUAAGGUAACGGCUUACCAAGGCAACGAUGCAUAGCCGACCUGAGAGGGUGAUCGGCCACACUGGAACUGAGACACGGUCCAGACUCCUACGGGAGGCAGCAGUAGGGAAUCUUCCGCAAUGGGCGAAAGCCUGACGGAGCAACGCCGCGUGAGUGAUGAAGGUCUUCGGAUCGUAAAACUCUGUUAUUAGGGAAGAACAUAUGUGUAAGUAACUGUGCACAUCUUGACGGUACCUAAUCAGAAAGCCACGGCUAACUACGUG